UACGUAGGGGGCAAGCGUUGUCCGGAUUUAUUGGGCGUAAAGAGCUCGUAGGCGGUUCCGUAAGUCGUGAAGUCAAAUCUCUGGGCUCAACCCAGAAUCGCUUCCGAUACUGCGGUGACUGGAGUCCGGUAGGGGAGUGUGGAAUUCCUGGUGUAGCGGUGAAAUGCGCAGAUAUCAGGAGGAACACCGGUGGCGAAGGCGGUUCUCUGGGCCUGUGCUGACGCUGAGGAGCGAAAGCGUGGGGAGCGAACAGG
rnacentral:rRNA from 1 species